AACCGAGGGGCGGCAAGGACACUUGCUGCCCGUAGGGUGGUCGCGGCAGUACCGUGCACCCGAAGGUGCUGAGCGACACGUAACGCCGCUCUUCGCGGGCCCUCGGCGCGCGCACACAAGUGUUCCGGGGGGCCGAACGCUGGCCCUCCAAACCGCCGCAGGUGCCAGCCGCCGCGGGGCAGGAAGCCGGGCUCCCCGACGCGAACGCGGACGGCGGGCACGCCCUCUCUCCUGGAGCCACUUCCACCAGUGGAGCGGGUGCGCGCGACAGACACGCACGUGGGAGAGCGGGGCGCAGCGGGGACCCCGCGCUCGGCGGGACGCACGCGCGGCGCCCGGGACCCCGGACACCCCGCCCGACGCGCGGCCGGUUACCUUCUUCGUAGCCCCACUCCACCCCCUCCUCCUCUUCCUCUUCAUCCUCCUCCUUCUCCGGGAAGGCGACGGAAUCUUCGAUGAAGCUCAGCACUGCUCUGAGUUUAGGCAUUCCAUCCAACAUCACUAGAUUGCAGAUUCUCUCGGAUGGAAGAGUAGAAAAAUAACGAAAGUUGCCCCUGACUCAAAAUCUUCCUUGAAAAAUGAUGGCAAGAAAACUGACUCAUUUGACCUUUCGAACUCCAGACAUACUCCACCGCGGUGCAUCCCUUCGGCUCGGGUGCCACUGCAGUGGACACGUGCCUUAGCAGUGACACCAUGAUGGGGCGCGCCGGUGCCUCCGCUACCAGCAAGGAUGGGUCCCCGGUGCCAGCCAAGAUCUGAUCCGACUCUAGUGUCCCACUCUAACACUGUUGGCUGUUGCCUCAGAUUUAUCAUGCAGCUCCAUAGGCCCAAGAGAUGCAAUAAUGUAACAGACAAGAUCUUUUAAGGAAAUUUUAUCCAACAUUCUUAAUUGGAAGGCAUUUGAGAGGAGCACAGAGAAACCAAGUGCCCAGGUUUCCUGAUACCAGUUCUGCAAAUCCUCGCUACACUACGCACCAAGAGACCUGCCGUCUUCAUAAAGUUGAUGUCUUCCGCAAAAAACAAAACAACACAAAACAAGAAGCCGGCACAGAGUAUGUUCUGUGUAUCUAUGACAGAACGCCGAAGCACCCUCUAUUUGGGCAGGCUGACCUCUUCGUGGCGAAUACAGUGUGGGGAGGAUGGAGAUAAUAGCCGGUUAGAACAGACCGCGCAGCCAGAUCAGGCACAUACCCAGGCCAGCUGUCCAGGCCUUGCCGACAACCUUCUAUAGCCUCACCUCUAAAUAAACAUGUAACAAAUAUCUCAUGGAUAUCCAUUUGAAAGGUCAGCAAAUGAUUAGCCUGCCCAGAGGGCCCACAUGUUUCCAUCCAGCCCUGCGUGAUUUGAGACCAUUUCCUGCACCAGGGUGCCAAAAGAGAAAUGGGAUGCAGUUUCAACUAGCCAUUUGAGAAAUUCUAAUCAAACCUUCCAGAGGCUUUAACCAAAUAAACCAAUCCAAUGUGUAUUUUAAAAAUGGUCUGAGAAUGUAAAGGGCAAGGAAAGGGAAUGGGAGACAGAACAGAGUAGGGAUAUAAACAUAACAUAGAACAGCCGGAUAAGAAAUGGAAGUUUUAAUCAAGUAACUGCUGUUUUGUACAACUGGUUUGGUUAGCAUUUACUAACAGAUGAGACUUGCCUUUGCUGAAUUGAUGUGAAUAGACUGUUUCCUUCUUGGUCGGGCAGACGUGAUAUGCAGAGGAAGCAAAGUCGUAAUUUACUUGUAAGAGGAGUUACAUCAGCAUCGUGAUGGCAAAAGAUGUCCCUCAUUUUUGUCGCCCCGACAGCGAAAGUUCAGCAUCCAUGGGCAAGGGUGUGUUUGCGGUAACUGUGGCAUCCAACACCACCUGCUAAGGGAUCCAGGACGAGUCUCACCUAUCAAUUCAUCAGGCAAUAGGCAGACGGACCUUGGUGCUAGCUGUGGAUCUUGUAAUGGCACCUUAACUGGCUUCAGCCCGUCUUAGCUGUGGUCCAGAAGCUCCUGGAGAACACUGACUUAGGCAAUUGCCUGUGCACGAGAGAGCCUUUGGGGAAGUCCACGAUUACAGAGAAGAAGUGCCAGCACACUGCUGCAGCAAACAACCAGUUUGGCCGCCUUCGAGAUGGCAGUCAAGACUGGAGGAGAUGACGCGAGGAUAGCCACGCAGAAGUUCAAGGAACAGGAACAAUCAAGGUCACGUAACACCACCAGAAGCUCGUAAUAAGCUUCCUGUACGCAAACUGAACACAUGAGGAUCUGCAGUUUACCAGACAAAUAAAUCAAAAUAGCAGCUCUAAGGAAAUUCAGUAAGCUAUAAGAAAACAAAGCCAAAUGGGUACAGAAACUGUGACACAGAGUGGAGGUUCCUCAAAAAUGUUUAAUGUAGAACUACUAUAUGAUUCUUCAAUCCCAUUUCUGUGUAUGGAUCCAAAGGAAAUGAAAACAAGAUCUUGACAAAAUAUCUUCACUUCCAUGUCAGUUCAGCACUAUGCACGGUAGCCAGGAUAUGGAACAACCUAAGUGUCCGUCAACAGACGAAUGGAUAAAGAAGAUACGAUGUGUCGCAUUAUUACGUUGUGCUGUAAUGAAAUAUAUAACGGGAUAUUAUUCGGCCACAGGAAGGAAGGAAAUCCUGCCAUUUGCGACCAUAUGGAUGGACCUUGAGGGCAUGAGGCUAAAUAAGAUAAAUCAGAGAAAGACAAAGCCUGUACGGUAUCACUUCUAUGUGGAACCUAAAACUACUGAACUCAUAGAAACAGAGAGUAGAAGGGUGGUUACCAGUGGCUGAGCAGUGGGGGAAAUGGAGAAAUGUUGGUCAAAGGGUACAAACUUCCAGCUAUACGAUGAUGUCCACGCAUCAGGAAUGGGGCAGGACGUGUUGGACAUGCCUUUCCUCCGCAAUGCCUGCGGCCUCAGGUGGAACACUCAAAGUCUGGGGGCAGAAAUCACCGGAAGAUUUACUCACAUACAUCUAGUGGUUGAGUCUGGCCUUGGGUCACAGAUCUGGCCAGUCCCAGGCUUCCUUACAUCAUAGCUCUGGAUUCUGAGGAUAGGAUUUGGAAUUGAAUCCCAGUAUUAUUUUCAAGGGACAUCGUGUGAAUACUGAUGCAUCUAAAUCCCAGGUAACAAUAAGUUACAGUUAAUGGGUUUGUACUACAUCAAAUGCAUACUUACUACAGGUACCUGCAGAGAAUUCCUGACAAAUGCCAACUAUAAAAGAAAUGUUAACUGCGCAUUUAACAGAUGGAAUUUUAGAGACAAUGUAUUACUAAUACCCCGCUGAUACGCUUUAUUUCCUCAAAUAACACGCAACAGUUUCCAUCAUUUAAAUAAUAAUGACUCAUGAGAAUUCUUCCACUAUUAGAGUCAGAAGAUUGCAGGAAGCCCGAAAGGAUACUGAAUGACCACCGCGUUCCUCCACUUUUCAGGCAGCUUGUCACUUGAUGGACUAGUAUCAGUUGCUUUCCAGAACAUCCCAAAGGUGAGACUCCUACAGAGUCAUUGCUUUAGCUCUGUUGUCAUUCGAGGAAAUAGUCUGGUGCCCCUUCAUAGAGAACGCCUGGCUUUCCUGAGUUCCCAGCAAUGCGGACAACCCAUGUUCAAAUUCAUAAGAGAAACUCCUCAGACUUUGAACACUCUAGACUCUGUGUCAGCAGUAACUGGGCAAGACCACAUCACCAGAGGCUUAGGAGUCAAAGGAGCAAAAAUGAAACCAUAAUCAUUAAAUACUAAUGACAACUUAAUUACUUUCUCAGAGAAACAGAACCAUUUGAGACCAUCGGAAAGCAGAAAGUGAGAUAAUAAUUCAGCAAGAGCUUUCAUUGCUGUUCGAUGCUAAGAGUAUCUCGUGGAUGUGCCCAGCCUCUGCCCAUUGUCCUCUAAAGUUAAUAUAUGCCUUUCCAGGACCUCGGGGACUCAUUUACAAAUAAUUACAAAUAAACAGAUUUCCUUUCUGAAUAGCUGGACUUCUGACACUACUUAGAGAACAUGUGUAUGACCCACACAUCAGAUUGCUAGGAUUUUAAGGACUCUUAGCCACUUAUAUAACACACGAUAAGAAGUUGGCAAAUUGAUUUACAAAAAAUGAAAGCUCGAGGUAGGACUGGCCACAUAUUGGGGAAUGCUGUGGUCAGUGCAUUUGGCCAACAUCAGUCCUGCAACGCAGGGCCAGAAGUACAUCCCUCUUAGCCCUUGGGAAAAUGGAGUUGCCUGUGGCUCUGAUUCAUGGUUCCUAUACAUCACCAGAGCUGGGCCUAUAUCCUGUAGUUAAGGCUUCAAAGGAAAACGCAAGUCUUCCGUCAGGGAGAACUGAUUGUGGAGCUCAAGCUCUUAUUUGGAGAAAAAUCUGUGCCUGUUCUGAUAUGGGUAGUCUGUCAGACUUCAUGGACUAGUAUCUGAGUCCCAGGGACAAGGGGCUGAAAGCAGAAAAGACCAAGGGUAGUGUGACUCCCAAGUCUCCAUGGGGUUCUGGGGGCAUUCUUGUGGGCCCAUCCUGACAAGUGUAGAGCUAGGUGUGUGAGCUGGGGUGGGACUCAGGGCAUCCAGGCAGGGGCACAGGGUGACUCCAAGGAAGUACCCAGGGAACCAAGCCCAUAGCAGCGUGACUAAGGAUGCCUCCCUCAGCUUUCAGGUGGGGAGGUCUGGGUCUUAGAUUCCCAUAGAGGUGGCCGGUAUAGGGACAAACCUAGGAAAUACUGUUCCCGCCACCAGGGCAGGUAAAGAAAACUCUCAGGCAUGUUGAGUCCAACUCUUCUUGAGAAGAACCACAACCGGGAAGGAGAGGUGGUGCUUGGUGCAGAGGCAGGAAAGACAUCUUUGUGCUUUGGCUACUGUUAGUGUUUGUGUGGGAUCCCAAAGUGUUGUCAGUAGGGGCAAAAAUAGCCAUGAGGUCCCAGAACCUCCUAUAAAAAAAGGUAGGGGAAAUAAAGGAGCGGGGGAAGACAGUAACGAGUUGACCUAAGUGAGCAUCACCGUCAGUGAAAGUGAGGUUGAGCACUGUUAGCAGAAAUAAGUCAAAAUUGAGGACUACCUUCCCUGGCAUGCAACCUCUAGCCUUCUCCGUUCUAGAAUGGUUUUUAAGCCAGAUACUAAAAAUUCUGUGUUCUGUUCUCAUGGCGUGUCUUCUCUCCUCCAGUGCCGGACCGCCUCCCACCUCCCCUGCCUUGGCCCAUGUCCGACACGGGGGAAGAUUCACACCGUCCUCUACCACAUUUUCUUUCAUGGCCCCUCUCAGACGUGAAACAAUCUGAUGGGCUGAUUCCCACAGCAAAUCUGUUACCUCAGACCCACCUGAUCGUUAACAAAAGACUCCUGAAAAGACACAACCUUCGUUCUCAGGGAUAAGUUUAAAUCCUGGCGUUUCAGUCAUCAAUCAUAGCAGAUUGGUGAAGACAGGGUUUCCCUCAAAAUUCAUCAUGAAUUACUUCAUUUGCAACCUAACUUUUGUCUCUUUAGGCCACUCCAAUUUGGGGCUUAAAAUAAAUCUGUGCAAACAGCAAUUAUGUGUAAACCCCUGACUCCUUUUCCCACCUACAAUUUCAGCACCUCCCACUGGAAAGCUCCACCUCCAGUUAUUUCUAGAAAGUUUUCUAUUGAGGAGGGAGGCUGGUUCUUACGUUAUCUGCUGUCACCCAGCACCUGCGAUUUUAUUGUCCUUCUACUCCUGUCCCUUUUUGUGAGGGUCACAGUCUGCUCCCUGCCAAGCUGUUUAAGGCCCAACCACUGCCAUGAACGGUGGAGUCACCUCCUGCCACUGAGAUUGCACCCUGUGCACAUUUCCAUUAGCUCUAACCCCCUAAAAAGAGGCAGCUGGUGGCUUCAUCCCUUAAGCCUCCGACUUCAGCUCACGUCCUGACUCCCAGUUCGUGGGUUUGAGCCCUGCAGCGGCUCUGUACUGACCGCUCAGAGCCUGGAGCCUGCUUCAGGUUCUGUGUCUCCCUCUCUCUCUGCCCCUCCCCUGCACGUGCUCUGUCUCUCUUUCUCUCUCUCUCUC